rnacentral:rRNA from 1 species
UACGUAGGUGGCAAGCGUUGUCCGGAUUUACUGGGCGUAAAGAGCGCGCAGGCGGUCGUUCAAGUCGCGUGUGAAAGCCCCCCGGCUCAACUGGGGAGGGUCACGCGAUACUGAUCGACUCGAAGGCAGGAGAGGGUAGUGGAAUUCCCGGUGUAGUGGUGAAAUGCGUAGAUAUCGGGAGGAACACCAGUGGCGAAGGCGACUACCUGGCCUGUUUCUUGACGCUGAGGCGCGAAAGCUAGGGGAGCAAACGGG